GAUGAACGCUGGCGGUAUGCUUAACACAUGCAAGUCGAACGGUACCUUCGGGUAUAGUGGCGGACGGGUGAGUAACGCGUGAGAAUCUAUCUUCAGGUCGGGGACAACAGUUAGAAAUGACUGCUAAUACCGGAUGUGCCGAAAGGUAAAAGAUUUAUUGCCUGAAAAAGAGCUCGCGUCAGAUUAGCUAGUAGGUGGUGUAAGAGACUACCUAGGCUUCGAUCUGUAGCUGGUCUGAGAGGACGAUCAGCCACACUGGAACUGAGACACGGUCCAGACUCCUACGGGAGACAGCAGUGGGGAAUUUUCCGCAAUGGGCGAAAGCCUGACGGAGCAAUGCCGCGUGAGGGACGAAGGCUCUUGGGUCGUAAACCUCUUUUCUCAAGGAAGAUUCAGACGGUACUUGAGGAAUAAGCAUCGGCUAACUCUGUG
rnacentral:rRNA from 1 species